GCAGACACAUUCCAGCCAAUCAGCAGCAGACCCUCCCUCCCAGACCCUCCACCUCCUGGACAGCUCACUAAGAAUGCAGCUUCACAAUGGAUGCUGUCCAGGAGGUGGGAGGGUCUGGGAGGGAGGGUCUGCUGCUGAUUGGCUGGAAUGUGUCUG